rnacentral:rRNA from 1 species
CGGUAUCUAACCAGAAAGCCACGGCUAACUACGUGCCAGCAGCCGCGGUAAUACGUAGGUGGCAAGCGUUGUCCGGAUUUAUUGGGCGUAAAGGGAACGCAGGCGGUUUUUUAAGUCUGAUGUGAAAGCCUUCGGCUUAACCGAAGUCAUGCAUUGGAAACUGAAAGACUUGAGUGCAGAAGAGGAGAGUGGAACUCCAUGUGUAGCGGUGAAAUGCGUAGAUAUAUGGAAGAACACCAGUGGCGAAAGCGGCUCUCUGGUCUGUAACUGACGCUGAGGUUCGAAAGUGUGGGUAGCAAACAGGAUUAGAUACCCUGGUAGUCCACACCGUAAACGAUGAAUGCUAAGUGUUGGAGGGUUUCCGCCCUUCGGUGCUGCAGCUAACGCAUUAAGCAUUCCGCCUGGGGAGUACGACCGCAAGGUUGAAACUCAAAGGAAUUGACGGGGGCCCGCACAAGCGGUGGAGCAUGUGGUUUAAUUCGAAGCAACGCGAAGAACCUUACCAGGUCUUGACAUCUUCUGACAGCCUAAGAGAUUAGGUGUUCCCUUCGGGGACAGAAUGACAGGUGGUGCAUGGUUGUCGUCAGCUCGUGUCGUGAGAUGUUGGGUUAAGUCCCGCAACGAGCGCAACCCUUAUUAUUAGUUGCCAGCAUUAAGUUGGGCACUCUAGUGAGACUGCCGGUGACAAACCGGAGGAAGGUGGGGAUGACGUCAAAUCAUCAUGCCCCUUAUGACCUGGGCUACACACGUGCUACAAUGGACGGUACAACGAGUCGCGAAACCGCGAGGUUUAGCUAAUCUCUUAAAGCCGUUCUCAGUUCGGAUUGUAGGCUGCAACUCGCCUACAUGAAGUCGGAAUCGCUAGUAAUCGCGGAUCAGCAUGCCGCGGUGAAUACGUUCCCGGGCCUUGUACACACCGCCCGUCACACCAUGAGAGUUUGUAACACCCAAAGCCGGUGAGGUAACCUUUAUGGGCCAGCCGUCUAAGUGACAGAAAUGU